rnacentral:rRNA from 1 species
UUCCGGUUGAUCCUGCCGGAGGGUACUGCUAUCGGAGUACGAUUAAGCCAUGCAAGUCAGUUCACGACCAUCGUGGACGGCGUACGGCUGAGUAACACGUAGUCAAUCUGCCCAUCGGACGGAGAUACCCCCGGGAAACUGGGGUUAAACCCCGAUAGACCAUCUGUGCUGGAAUGCUUGAUGGCUCAAAUCUUUUGGUGAAUUGGAGCCAAGAGGCCGAUGGAUGAGACUGCGGCAGAUUAGGUAGUUGGUGAGGUAACGGCUCACCAAGCCGAUAAUCUGUAGGGGCAAUGGGAGUUGUAGCCCCCAGAAGGACACUGAGACAAGGGUCCUAGUCCUACGGGAUGCAGCAGGCGCGAAACCUUUGCCAUGCGCGAAAGCGUGACAGGGGAACUCCGAGUGGUAGAAGGUUUUACUUUCUAUCUUUUUGUCAAUCCAAACAAUUGGCAGAAUAGGGUCUGGGUAAGGCCAGUGCCAGCCGCCAUGUUGGGAGUGUUCACACCCCCGACACGGUAUGCGGUAAUACUGGCAGAACAAGUGGUACCCACGAAUAUUGGGUCUAAAGAGUCCGUAGCGGGCCGACUAAGUCCACUGUGAAAUCUGGCGGCUUAGCCGUCAGGUGGGCAGUGGAUACUGAUCGGCUUGGGAGCGGGGGAGGCCGGGAGUACUGGCGGGGUAGCGGUAAAAUGCUGUAAUCCUGCCAGGACUACCAGUGGCGAAGGCGCCCGGCCAAAACGCGUCCGACCGUGAGGGACGAAAGGCUAGGAGAACGAAUCGGAUUAGAUACCCGAGUAGCCCUAGCAGUAAAUCAUGCGGACUGUGGUGUUGCGCGACUUCGAGUCGUCGCAGUGCUGUAGCGUAGUGUUAAGUCCGCCACCUGGGGAGUACGGCGCAAGGUUGAAACUUAAAGGAAUUG